CCCUUGAAGCAGCUAGAGAUAGCUGUGUCCUUCGGGACAAGGAGACAGGUGGUGCAUGGUUGUCGUCAGCUCGUGUCGUGAGAUGUUGGGUUAAGUCCCGCAACGAGCGCAACCCCUGUGGUUAGUUGCCAGCAAGUAGCGUUGGGCACUCUAGCCAGACUGCCGGUGAUAAAUCGGAGGAAGGUGGGGGCGACGUCAAAUCAUCAUGCCCUCUAUGUCCUGGGCUACACACGUACUACAAUGGCCGUUACAACGGGAAGCGAAGGAGCAAUCCGGAGCAAAUCCCUUAAAGGCGGUCCCAGUUCAGAUUGUGGGCUGAAACUCGCCCACAUGAAGGCGGAAUUGCUAGUAAUUGCAGAUCAGCAUGCUGCAGUGAAUACGUUCCCGGGUCUU
rnacentral:rRNA from 1 species